UUGCAAUGUGUUUGCGCAAUCAAUUGAUAUCCCUUUUACCUUGGAAAGUAUAAGGACUAAAUAAUCUGAAUUUGCAAUUUAUAUGUAAUACAAGGACUAAUAGCAGAAAUUAACCAAAAUGUAAGUCCAUUACCGCCCUUUUUUGGUAGGUCUAAUUCCCAAUUUCCACUCCCACCAUUUGUACUCUCUCUCUCUGAUUUUGUCGCAAAACUCAUAUCUCCCCUCUGUUGGCAUCGCUUCAACGCCUCAGGUAAUCUUUCCUUCUCUUCUAAUUCUUUCAACUAUUAUUAUUUACUUCAAACUCUAAUAGAUCUAUUGCUAAAAUCAUCUUAAAUUUCAGUCCACAUUGCUAAGCUUGCGCGGUUCUUAGUUUUUUAUGUUUGAUUUUAAAAAUGUUAAAAUUUUAUGAUAAAAUUUCUAGUUAGUGGCAGGGAAGAUGAUUGGACAUGCUCCAGUUGUGUGAAUAUCAAUUUUCAUUUAAGAUUACUUGUACUCUAUGCAUAGUUGCACUCAACCUAGGCCAGCCAAUAAUAAUUCUGCAAGUCUUUCUCUUAUAUCUCAAUGUUCUCUAUAUUUCUUUCAAAAAUAUUUUGUUUAUAUAUUUCUAGAUAUUAAUCAUUGUUUCUAAAAUUAAGUUGGUAAUUUUGUUUUUGUGUUUUUGCUCAUUACCUCUUUCACUGUUCGAGGACAUGAAUGGGUAAUCCAGAAAUAGGUCAGACCAGUCUCAGGCAGUUCAAAAUUUUAAACUAAAUACAGAAACCAGAGAAACCAAAGCAUAGACUAAAUAUUAUGAUUUAAAAAUAAUAGUUCACUGCUCAGUUAGAAACUAACCAAGGAAAAGAACUGUAGAGUAUAAGCAUUCAUAGGGGACAUUGCCUUCGUGAGCUUUUCCCUUUGGGGACAUCUGAUAAAAUUGGAACGAUACAGAGAAGAUUAGCAUGGCCCCUCUAACACGCACAAAUAGAAAUGGUCCAAGUUUUUUUCCCCUACUUUUACAGCUAUGUUUCCUUCUCAUUUUCGCUUCAGAAUUUUUAGUUCUUUUUUUGUUUAUCUUAUCUUUCUGAUCAUGGUUUGAUGUUCAUCUUCAUGGGGUUCUUUCACUUCAGACUGUAGAUUAGAGCUUUUCUGGGCUUGAUCUGUUUUAACUCUCUCCAACAGUGAAUACCUCAAUAGCCAUCUGUUUGCUAUCUGUAUCAAAGACCUAAACCAUGUUGUUCUACCAUGUGCUAAACAUGCAUGUCAAAAUCUGGACUAAAUACAUGAAAAAUUAGCUUCACCUUAUAAGGUUGUUCCAGUUUCUAAAUGCAAGAAUCAAGCCAUUUUUUACUCACAAGUCACACCUAAACAUUAAGGGUUGACAUUUGGUUAUUCUGGAUAUGAUGGAUGAAGACAACAAAAUACUUGAGAAGUGAAUACAGUGACGUUGCAUUCGAGGCUGUCAGCACUGCAUUGAUGGAAAUGAAUGGAUAUAAUGCAAAUGGAAGGUAUGCAGUCCCUGAUUUUUGGCAGAACAUAAAGAAGGAAAGUCACCACCAUGAAAGAAAUCAUUGACUGCAUAAUCAUACAAUUGAAGAUUCAUAAGGAUAAAUGAAAACAUACCCUAUGGUUUUGCUUUGGCUAUUUUCAUCGUAUGCUUAUCUAUCCAUUACUUUCAUUGAUGUUUCUCUCUUUACAGAGAGCGUUACUACAAAGUUACUGCAGUGUCUGAUAUUUAUCAAACUGGUUGUUCAUGCUCGAAAAAAACAAGCAUCAUAUAUUCUUCAUUACUUGUUCCACCCUGAAAAUAACCGGAUAUGUUAACUUUACUUAUGUGCACUCAUGCAUCAUAUGUUCUUCAUUAUUUGUUCCACCUUAUAUAACGGAAUCUGCACAUUACUGGAGUUCUCUUUCUUGUGGCAAUGAUACUUAAAUGAUGUUGAAACUAAAGCUAUGUUUAUUUAUCAACAAAUCAGAGUGGCGCAGCGGAAGCGUGGAUGGUCCAUAACCCACAAGUUCCAGGAUUGAAAUCUGACUCUGAUAUUUUAAGUUUGCACUUUCCUUUUCAAUAUUUUUCUUCUUCUUUUUUUCACUUCAGAUUGCAGUUUAGAGUGUUUUCUGGGUUUGUUUAUCUAUUUGAUUUUGCACAUUUUUCUGGGUUUGAUGUUCAUCAUCACGGGCCUUGUGCACCUAAGAUUGCACUUUGAGUUUUUGUUUCUGGGUUCGGUCUGUUUACUCUCUGAAACAGUGAAUACAGCAAAUUCUUUUAAUUCCCAUUUGAGAUUGAUGUUAUUGAAUUAGCUUCUUCUUUUUUAUUUUGUUAUUUUAUUAUUUACAUCAAACUCUAAUAGAUCUAUUGCUAAAAUCAUUUUAAAUCUCAUUCGCCUUGCUAAGCUUGCCUCGUUCCUAGUUUUUAUUUAUUUAUGUUCUAGUUUUUGGUUUUCGAUUUUGAAAAUGUUAAAAGUUUAUGCUUAAAUUUCUAGUUAGUGGCAGGGAGGAUGAUUGGACAUGCUCUAGUUGUGUGAAUAUCAAUUUUCAUUUAGGACUACUUGAAAUAUUCACAGUUGCACUCAAACAAUGCCAGCCGAAAUCCAAUCAUUCAAAAAUUUCACUUUUAUCCAACAAGACAAUUAACGGAGAUACAAUCGGUCAAUGUCUGCAAUUUUACAUUAGUAUUAAGAACAAACUAUGAGAAAAGUAUCAACAUCAACUAUCUUUUUAGGACAAAGUACAGCAGACAAAAUUAUGGAGCUGACAAACCAUCAAAGAAACCCCCUCAGCAACGUCAAAUGAAAAUGAUGAGGAAUCUAGGACAUAUCUGAGCGUUGAGAAGGUCUGGGGGUGUCGUAGCAGUGCUCAAUAUGGGUUGUGAUUGUCAAUUUUUGAAUUAGGACUACCUGCAAUACAUAGGAGUUGCACUCAUCCAAGGCCAGCUGAUUAUAAUUUCAGGAUAAGCCCUCACUUUAUCUUGAUGUUUCUAUUGAAUGUAAGACAAUCGGAUGCAGUGGUAAGCUCACUUAUUUAGAAGUUUAUAUUCAAUUGAAUUUCGAGGAAAAAAAAGACUACAAGAAUGGUUUAUAUUCAGUUCAUGCUUGCAUCGGCAAAUGAUGCUAGUAAUCCGGAGGACUAUACAUCAUAAUGUGAACCUGGAUCAGUCCCAUGGACUUUACUUGCAGUCUCUUAACAGUAGCAUGUGGUGGAUGAAACCCUGGCAAUCCUCUUCUGUACCCUACAUUAUAUCAUUUACUCAUCCAAUUAGGUCUUAAGUCUUGACCAUAAU